GGAAAGUAAAAGUCGUAACAAGGUUUCCGUAGGUGAACCUGCGGAAGGAUCAUUAUUGUAUAACCGAGGUGCGAGGGCUGUCGCUGACCCGAAAGGUCGUGCACGCCCGAGUGCCCUCACACACAUCCAUCUCACCCCUAUGUGCACCACCGCGUGGGUCCCCCUUUGGCUUGUUCGGAGGGGGGCUUACGUUUUCACACAAACUUUGUAUGCAGUGUAGAAUGUAUUUUUUGUUUUUGCGAUCACGCAAUCAAUACAACUUUCAACAACGGAUCUCUUGGCUCUG
rnacentral:misc_RNA from 1 species